rnacentral:rRNA from 1 species
CACGAAGUUAGCCGGGGCUUAUUCUACGGGUACCGUCAUUAUCUUCCCCGUUAAAAGGACUUUACAACCCUAAGGCCUUCAUCAUCCACGCGGCAUGGCUGGAUCAGGCUUGCGCCCAUUGUCCAAUAUUCCCCACUGCUGCCUCCCGUAGGAGUCUGGGCCGUGUCUCAGUCCCAGUGAGGCUGAUCAUCCUCUCAGACCAGCUACUGAUCGUCGCCUUGGUGAGCCCGUUACCUCACCAACUAGCUAAUCAGACGCGGGCCGCUCCAUCGGCGAUAAAUCUUUCCCCGUAAGGGCGUAUUCGGUAUUAGCUCGGGUUUCCCCGAGUUAUUCCGAACCGAAGGGCACGUUCCCACGUGUUACUCUCCCGUCUGCCGCUGACACCUUGCGGUGCCCGCUCGACUUGCAUGUGUUAGGCCUGCCGCCAGCGUUCGCUCUGAGCCAGGGAUCAAACUCU